GGAGGCGUACCGAAGCGGUCAUAACGGAACUGACUCGAAAUCAGAUUGGCGGGGUAACCUGCCACGUGAGUUCGAAUCUCACCGCCUCCG
rnacentral:tRNA from 1 species